rnacentral:sRNA from 1 species
UAUCUCUCCGUACGGGGAAGGAUGAGAAGCUUCGACUAAGGUUCGAUUCGAGCGCAGCGAGAAAGCGUUGCCGCAGGCAACGACCCGAAGGGCGAAGCGCGCAGCGCUGAGUCAUCCUUCCCCCACCACC